GUAGUCUGCAACCCGACUACAUGAAGCCGGAAUCGCUAGUAAUCGCGGAUCAGAAUGCCGCGGUGAAUACGUUCCCGGGUCUUGUACACACCGCCCGUCACACCAUGGGAGUUGGAAAUGCCCGAAGUCAGUGGCCCAACCGGAAGGGGGGAGCUGCCGAAGGCAGGUUCGAUGACUGGGGUGAAGUCGUAACAAGGUAAC
rnacentral:rRNA from 1 species